UACGGGGGGUGCAAGCGUUGUCCGGAAUCAUUGGGCGUAAAGAGUUCGUAGGCGGCGAGUUAAGUCAGCGGUAAAAGCCCGGGGCUCAACCCCGGCCCGCCGUUGAAACUGGCUGGCUUGAGUUGGGGAAAGGCAGGCGGAAUGCGCGGUGUAGCGGUGAAAUGCAUAGAUAUCGCGCAGAACCCCGAUUGCGAAGGCAGCCUGCCGGCCCCACACUGACGCUGAGGCACGAAAGCGUGGGUAUCGAACAGG
rnacentral:rRNA from 1 species